rnacentral:rRNA from 1 species
AGUUCGGAUUGUAGGCUGAAACUCGCCUACAUGAAGCUGGAAUUGCUAGUAAUCACAGGUCAGCAUACUGUGGUGAAUACGUUCCCGGGCCUUGUACACACCGCCCGUCACACCAUGAGAGUUGAGAAUACCCGAAGCCCAUGUCAAAGUGGUCGAAGGUAGGCUUGAUGAUUGGGGUGAAGUCGUAACAAGGUACC